rnacentral:misc_RNA from 1 species
AAGUCGUAACAAGGUUUCCGUAGGUGAACCUGCGGAAGGAUCAUUCAUAAUAAGUGUUUUAUGGCACUUUUUAAAUCUAUAUCCACCUUGUGUGCAAUGUCAGUCGGUCUUCUUUAUGGAGAUCGCAACACUACAACCAUAAUUUUUUUAACUCUUUGUCUGAAAAAUAUUAUGAAUAAAAUAAUUCAAAAUACAA